CGCCACACCAGAAGCGCCGCCAGUGCCUUGUGUGGUGUGCGUGUGGGAGGUAGCUGGGCUGGUCAUGCUCCCCAGCGGUACCUGACUCUGGCUAGACCAAGUAGUCACACUGAACCUGACUCUCACUGACGAAGGAGUGGGAUAACAGAAGGAGGAUCCUCACACAAACUCGUCCUUAUCAGGGUGAUCAGAGUGGGACGCCUCGCCUAGAUCGUCUUAGAGCGACGUUUAUUUACCCCAAGUUUAUACAGAUUCACUGUGCUGGUGGUGUGUCGUCUGCCUACAGUACCACCCACCAUCAUAGCUCUAGGCUUCUGGUGGCGAGCGCUGGUAAGAAUCACUCGCUCGAUGCUAUAAGAACAGCCACGAGCCGUAGUCGUGGCACCAGUGGCUGGACCUCAAGAGAAGGGGGGUGAGGUGUCUGGAUAACCCACAUGGGAUCCACAUGAAGAAGGACUCUGGAAGUUCAAGGAUCUCUAUAAGCUUAAACACUCUCACAAGCUGAAGGACUCCCAUAAGCUGAGGAACUACCACAAGCUGAAAGAUCCCCAUAGGCUACAGGAACUUCCCAUGAGCUGAAGAGCUUCCCAGUAGUUGAGUGUGAAGGACGGCCAACAGACUCAGGCAGAGAAGACCACAGGAACAUCACUGCUUCUACACUCGGAUAUAUCGUGUGUGUGUUGUGUAGUGAUGGAUGAUAAGAUAAGCAUAGGUUAUUAAACCAGAAAGAUAGAUAAGAUAAAUUAAGUAAUAUGUGAUAAGAUAGAUAAAGAAAAGGAGUUUUGUGUGACAAUAUUAUGCCUGAGGACUUCACUGCUGAAGUAGAGGUCCCAUUAGCAGUGAUCGGAACUGACUGUGCCAUCACCCAUUCCCUCAGUGCCAUCAGUGCCCUGCCUUAGUGCCAUCAGUGCCCUGCCUUAGUGCCACCAGUGCCAUCCGUCCCUAUUCAGUGUCACUAGUGUCCUACCCUAGUGCCAGCAGCCGCCAUAAGGCACUAUGUCGUCAAAGGGGGAGCGCAUCUUGUCACAGAUCCAGGCGAUGCAGUGCCACGUGACACAGCUACGUCAGGAGGCCAGCAUAACGCGUAUCCCUGUCAGCCAAGCGUGUCACGAUUUGAUCAAGUACUGCGAGGAGCACCAACAGAUGGAUGUGUUGGUGACGGGCAUCAGCCAAUCAGAGAACCCCUUCAAGGAGAACAAGGCCUGUACUAUCUUGUGAUGCAGUGUGGCCGGCCGGGAGUAAGAAGGGACCCAAGACGCAGGACCUUCGCCACACACUCCGACCAUCAACAAACCUGGGCAGUGACCUCGAGGAGUAAACGCCUUCAUGUUAACUGCACGUAUAAUAAAACUACAAGAAGAGGAAGAAGAAGAAGUCAUUGCUUACUAUUUUGCUACUCUCUUUCUAUAUAAGCUUGAGUAAUAGACAUGUGAAUGAGUGAUAUAGGUCACUAAGGAUUGUUGUUACUAUGUGUUCAGUUUUUGGGGUGUGAGAGAGUGUGCUCAUUGUUGUAUUCGUAUGUUAGGUGUGAAGACGUUCUUACAAAAAAACAGUUCGAGCAGAGGUUCGCCUGUCAGCGGUGACCUCUGUGUCGUGACGUAACUCACUGAUAGGUUGUACUGAACACUGAUCCCCCUUAUACCGUGUGCAUGGGGCCAGCUUAACCUAGCUGGAGUUGUAGCUUCAUCACUCAAACUACAACACUGUGGGAUAGUUCGGUCAAGAAGCAGCUACUAUGUCGACCCUUCUGUCUUCUUGACCUGCCAGCCCAGCUGGUGUUGUCCCAGCUGAGUAUGAGCUAGCCAGCUGCAGGUGGUGCUACCCUGCUACGUGUGUAAGGAACCCUAGCCAGCUUAGAGCCUGCCUGCUUAAUCUAAAGGACAACCUGCUGUCAUGUAAACUCCCAGUUAUUGCUGGGAAUGUGUGUAUGUGUGUGUGUGUGUGUAACGAAGUGGGUCACAUCCCUGUAUGUUGUGCCGCCAGUGUCGCCUCCCUGUGUGUUCUGGUGUUGGCUCUCGUGUCACAUCUACCUGUGGUUCCCAGGUGGUCAUAUCUGUGAGUGUUUACCAGAUGGUCACAGCUGUAUGUUCUGAUGAUAUUUUCUGGUGUUACGUCUCUGUAUGUAACUUGUAGGUGUAUGGAAAUUACACUACGUCAACAAAGUCAACACACCACAACACAGGUUUAACAUUUCCUGUGUAGAAGGGAAACAUCCAUGACUCCUACACACCUAAGGGGAAAAAAUUACGGUAAUUUCCCUCGUUGGUGUACACAGUCAUAAGGUGUCGCUGCGAGAUUUAUAUAUACAGUAUACGCAUCAGCCGAGCUUUCUGCUUGUCAUAAUAUUUUUAAUAGCUGUCAUUCGUGUUAGUUUUUUUAUAAUAAUAGUAGUCCAAGUAUUCCUCCUGCACCAUUGUGGCUUUCUCACUGUAGUCAAGUUCCUCACCUAGCAACCCAUAGAUUAAUAAUAGAUUUUGUCCCAGUUCGUCUCACACAAAACUAAAAGGCUGUCUGAUAAAUCUUCACACUCCUCUUCUUCUCUUUCUUCCUUUUCGUUAUGUUCUUUAUCUUCCUCUUCUUCCUCCUCGUCUUCUUGUCAUUCACCUUCUGAUAUUUCAUCUUUCUCAUCAUCCCCUUGGCCAUCUCUGUCUUCUUCCUAUUCAUUUGAUUCGUCCACUAUGCCUCCUUCUUCUUCCUUUUCGUAUUCUUCCUCAUCCCUUACUUCCUCCUCACCUUUACCACCUUCUUCUCCCCCAUCUUCUCCUACACAUCAUCCUUUAACCCAUUUACCACCUUAUUACAGUAUCUCUAUCCCUCCUAUCCAUCCAUCUCAAAUCUUACCCUGCAGUGAUCUCCCUGCCUCCUAUCCAUCUUCCUCAUCUUUCUCACCUUCUUCCUCAUCUGGUUCUCUUCCUUCUUCCUCUAACCUCACUUCAUCUACACCACCUUCAACCUGUGUUUCCUAUCUCACUUUCUAUAAUUCGUACCCAAUGUAUUUUUUGGUGUUCUCAUUCCUGACGCUUGUUUUGUCAUCAUUACUUUUCAUCCUCCUCGUUCUCCAUGUUUACCUCACUUCCAAUGUUGUUCUCUCACUGUUCCUAUUGUCAUCUUGUUUUAUCUCUUCUCUCUUCAGUGCCUCAAUAUGCUGUGCCUUCUUCCUCAUCUUCGUCAUCAUGUUUUCCUCGUGUGUUUGUUUCUGCUCCGUCUUCCUGCAUUGUAAACGAGAGGUGUCUUACGUGUAUAGUUUGUGGCUCAGAGUAAUGUAAACUUUAAAAGGGAAAUCAUUAUAGGAAUUCAAAGCAGAAAUAAUAGACCCCCUUUUGAGACUAAAAAUUUAUACACGGAGACGACAAUGAAGUAUUUUUGAGAUGGGAAAUAAUUACUACUGAUAUACCAACUGUGAAUCUCAUUACAUAACCCUUAAAUAAUGUGUAAAACUCCAUCCGGGUGGCAAAGAUGUAUAUUCACCCCAACUCUGGUGAAUUUGUGUACAUUGUGGAGAAGUUACGUAAGAAAUUCACAGUUCACAUGGCAUUAAUGAUAUUUUAUUCCAAGAUGGAUUAUUAACGUCUCCUGUAUACAUAUAUUAAGCCCUAAAAAUACACCGUAUCAACUCUGAACUGUUGAAAUAACCCGUUAAUACACAUUUGUAAUUAUCUUUAGGUGUUGAGUCAAGAGAGCUAUAACAGGGGGUAGGUUAUCAUCGUGGUGGUGGUAGGGAGAGAAGAGUCAAGACCCAUACUCUGAAAAUCUGAUCGAUGGCACGUAAGAGAAAAUUUUAGGGAUGGAGGUUACUGGUGGCUGAUGUUUGUAAGUGAAGGGAUUGUUGGUUGGUCUGAUUUUUAGUAUUUUUUUGUCAGUUCCUUUCUGAAAACCUAAAAUUUUCUCAAUAUUUUAGGGAUGAAGAUUAUUGGUACCCACAGAUAAUCAUACGAAGAUAUUUAAUAACAUGGAUGAUUUUUUUUUUAAGAAGAAUCAUAUCAGAAAAAUUAAUUAAGGAAAUUGUCUGAAAUUUCCAUGGGUAAAAUUGAUAACCAAAGCGAAUUAUGCAACUGGGAGGAUUAAUAUAUUAUUCUGUAUUAGGAAUCUUGCUCAAGUCUUAUGUAUUACUGUCUGAUUGGAAAGACAAAUGGUGGUGUUUUUUCACUGUUGGUAAUCUAAAAAAAAUAUAAAAAAUAAUCUCAGAGAAUUGCUUCGUCAGGUCAACUUUUUUUUCCCAUGUUUAGUGGCACCCAUAAUUCCACCUGAUUCUGUUAUACACUGAAUGAGGUGGUACAGUACUUUUUUAGGUAAGCUAGUGUAUGACAGCUGGUGCGUUCAGGUGGUCCUACAAGCUGGUACGGUCAGAUGGUCUUAUAUGCUGGUGUGUUCAGGUGGUUUUACAAGCUGGUGUAUAUGACAGCUGGUUCAGGUUAC